GGGAUUGGUUGGUGAGCCACGUAGGGCCCACCCUAUUUUUGUGUUCCUUGGUUUCUCACCUCUCUCAUCUCUCACAAUUAUCUCUUUUCCCUCGCUCUCCCUUAUCUCUCAUUCUCGACAACUCUCUUAACCCUCUCUCCCCCGAGAAGCAAACACACACACACACACACUUGGACACUCACCCUCCAUUAGAACCUCCCCAUGCCAGAAACCCGGAGUUGUCAACCUCUUCCUUACUGCACAAUGGCGUUGCCACCAUUCAAGAGUCAUAGGAGAAUCCUCGCCUUCUUCGAUACGCUAUACUCGGGAAAAUGAGUUUCCAGAUUUCUGGUGAGAAUGCCAUGACUUGCAGACAUUUUCCGGCGAAACUCCGGCUGUGUCACGGCCUCCAAUAGGACUUAGAAUCGAGGUGUACAAUCCCGGUGUUAAGGCACUUCCGCAUCCGCAUCUUCAAGUUCUCUCGGUGUAGGACCCACUUCUUGUUCAUUCAAUUUUAUACCAUUUCUUUUCUAGUGUAUAUAAUUAGUUGUAUGCUCCGAACACGUUCCUCAUUUGCAUAUUAAUUACAUUUAGAUUUAUAAGUCUUAUUUAUUUUCUUGUUCUCAUGCAUCCUAAUAUGUCUUCGUCACCUUCGGGUGUCGGCUAACUCGUACCUACCCUGGUGUUCGGAAAAUUUCGGGUUCGGGCAUGUCAUAACACUUCUGGAAACAAUGAUUUUGUUGCUUUUCAGAUCAAACACCAUGUAACCCUUCUCUUUUGUCCCAUAUCCAACAAACAUACAUUUCUGUCCUGUUUCAUCUAGUUUAUGCCUUAGCUGAGUUGGAACAUGAGUAUAACAUACAAAACCAAAGAUUCUCAAAUGUUUUACCCUUGGUUUUCUACCAUUGAACUCUUCAAAUGGAGUUUUGUUCUUUAACACCUUGGUAGGACAUUUAUUCAAAAGAUAGACAACAGUGUGAAUUGCUUCACCUUAGAAUUUGAGAGGUAGUUUCUUUUCAUAAAGCAUGGUUCUUGCCAUCUUUACAAUGGUACGGUUCUCCCUCUCAGCAAUGCCAUUUUGCUAGGGAGAAUAAGCAACAGUUAGCUGUUUUUCAAUACCAACAUCUUCACAACAUUUCUCAAACUGCAAUGAUGUGUACUCUCAUCCUCUGUCAAUUCUAAGUUUCUUCAACUUAAAUCUAGUUUGUAGUUCCACCAUAGCCUUGAACAUUUUGAAAAUUAUGAACACUUCAGACUUGCUCUUUAAGAAAUAAACCCAGCACAUUAUGGACUUAUCAUCAAUAAAAGUGAGGAAAUACUUGCUGCCACCAAAUGUCCCACACAUGGGUCCAUAAACAUUUGAAUGAACAAGCUCGAGUGGAAGAGAUGCUUUCCAUUUCUAUUCUUUGUCAAAAGCUUAUAUGUGAGCUUUCCCAGUAGCACAACCUUCACACACUUGAUUGUGGUCUUUAAGAUAUGGUAAACCAUACAACAUGCUCUUUUCCUUCAACAUCCUCAAGCUAUCUUAAUUCAAAUGCCCAAAUCUUCUAUGCCAUUUCCAUGAGUUGUCUUUAGUAGAUGCUCUAUUUGCCAUAAUGUGAUCCAUAGAUUCAAAUAUUAAAGGGAAGCAUCUAUUCUCCUUCAUUUGCACAGUAGCAACAUGAUCUUGUAGCUCACUGUCACCAAAGAUACAAGCCAUAAAGUCACCAAAUAAAAGCCAGUAUCCAUGUUUAACCAUUUGAUCCACACUGAGAAGGUUCUCAUCUAGACCGGGCACAAUCAUAACUUCUGGUAUGAACCUUGUUUCUCUCUUAGUGUCAACUACUAGAGUUCAUUUGCCAAUUGAAUCAACCAAGUCUUCUGUGCCCAUUUUUCACCUUGCAUCUUGUACUUCUGUCAAUAUUGAUAAGUAAUGGUUCAAUACUAGUCAUGUGGUUACUACAACCACUAUCUAGGUACCAAACUCCACUAUUACCUUGCACAAAGGCCUUAUGGCAAGAAUAAAACAGCAUUGCCUUAUCCUAGACAUGGUUCAAAUAGUUGGUAGCUUGAGUUUUCUUUGGUUGAUGGCAAUCCUUCGCCAUAUGUCCAAACCUAUUACAAUUGUGACCUUUGGGUUUCCCUUUGAACCAACACUCUCCAUAGUGAGCCUUAUCAUAAAUUUUGCAUUUUUGUUUACUACCAUUAGUAAUCUCACCUUGUCUCUCAGGUUGAUGACUUUUGUUUUUCCACUUCUUGGGUUUAGACUUCCAAUUGUUUUUUCCUUUGCUGUGAUUUCCCUGUACAAAUGGUUUAUUUUGUGUAUUUGAUGCAAAAAUCAUACUAGAGAAGGCAUGCUCUAAGCUUGUAGUAUCAUCUUCAUGUCUACUCAACCUAAGUUCAUAGCUUUUAAGAAAUCCAACCACCUCUUGCACAGUCACAAUAUUCAAAUCAGAAGUUCUUUCAAUCACAACACAAAUUGGAUCAUACUUAUUAGAUAGGCUAAUCAAAACCUUUUGAACCUCUCUUUAGUGAGUGAGAAUCUCACCAUAAGAUUUCAUUUGAUUAAUUAAUUCAAAUAGUCUAGUAGGAUAGGCAGCGAAUGAUUCAUUUUCUUUCAUCCUCAUAUAUUCAAACUCACGAAGCAAACUUUGAAGUUUAACAUACCUUGCAUGUUCAUCACUACGAAAUUCCUCUUGGAGUAGAUCCUAGUGUCACGGGCCAUAUGUUACAAACAAAGAAAACGCCCAAGACAUCAUAUAUCUAAGCCCAUAAAGCCUUGUCUUCAUGGAAGCUUCUGGAACAUCCCGGAAAAAUCAAGAACAUGGCGGAGCGUUCAAGAUAAUCUAGGAUCCACACAAGUGUACAAAUUCAAGCCUCACCUAGAACAAUCUAGAUUAGGCAAGUUGUAUCUAGAACUAUACUAGAUAUUUUUGGAUGUAAGUAGGGAAUUCUAGAACCCUCCAUUGAGGAGGUUACUUAGGCCUAUAAAUAGGAGGCAAGGCCAUUUGGCCAAGGCAUCCAAGAAUUGUAAGCAAUUGUAAAGUUCUCCUAAGUUUCAAUACAAAGCUUCCUUUCUCCCA